UACGUAGGGUGCGAGCGUUAAUCGGAAUUACUGGGCGUAAAGCGUGCGCAGGCGGCUUUGCAAGACAGAUGUGAAAUCCCCGGGCUCAGCCUGGGAACUGCAUUUGUGACUGCAAGGCUAGAGUACGGCAGAGGGGGAUGGAAUUCCGCGUGUAGCAGUGAAAUGCGUAGAUAUGCGGAGGAACACCAAUGGCGAAGGCAAUCCCCUGGGCCUGUACUGACGCUCAUGCACGAAAGCGUGGGGAGCAAACAGG
rnacentral:rRNA from 1 species